UGCAGUCGAACGGUAACACGAGAGCUUGCUCUCGAUGACGAGUGGCGCACGGGUGCGUAACGCGUAUGCAACUUACCCCAAACUGGAGAAUAGCCUUUAGAAAUGAAGAAUAAUACUCCAUAGUAUUCCAGAGAGGCAUCUCUUUGGUCUUAAAGCUUCGGCGGUUUGGGAUAGGCAUGCGUUCUAUUAGUUAGUUGGUGAGGUAAUGGCUCACCAAGACCACGAUAGAUAGGGGGCCUGAGAGGGUUAUCCCCCACACUGGUACUGAGACACGGACCAGGCUCCUACGGGAGGCAGCAGUGAGGAAUAUUCCACAAUGGACGAAAGUCUGAUGGAGCCAUGCCGCGUGCAGGAUGAAUGCCUUCUGGGUUGUAAACUACUUUUAUAUAGGAAGAAAACGCCAUGCGUGGUAAUAUGACGGUACUAUAUGAAUAAGCACCGGCUAACUCCGUGCCAGCAGCCGCGGUAAUACGGAGGGUGCAAGCGUUGUCCGGAUUUAUUGGGUUUAAAGGGUGCGUAGGCGGUUUAUUAAGUCGGAGUUGAAAUCCCACAGCUUAACUGUGGAACUGGCUCCGAUACUGGUUAACUUGAGUAUGAUUGAGGUAGGCGGAAUUUAAGAUGUAGCGGUGAAAUGCAUAGAUAUCUUAAAGAACACCAAUUGCGUAGGCAGCUUACUGGACCAUAACUGACGCUGAGGCACGAAAGCGUG
rnacentral:rRNA from 1 species